rnacentral:lncRNA from 1 species
AUUAUUUACAAUUAUUUUAAAAUUUCCGCUUUAACUAAUAUCUUAAUUAGUUUUAAAAUAUACUUAUUGAUUUAUGGUAUCAUUACAGGAAGAAGUGUUAUCGAAUCUUAGCAUAAAUAGAUUAGAAUACUAUCGAUGCUUUUCAUCUUAUCUGACUGUAACAGCUUUUGUACCGCUACACUUUUGUGUUAAUCUACUCCAAUGAAAUAGAAACGAAAAAUAAAAAAGAAAUCUAUUCUUAAGAAAAUUGUAAAGGAGAAACGAUUUCCUUGACUUUCCAUUCAGUUAAUUGAAAAGUCAGCGAAAUAAGAGCGCAAUAAAAAUAUCUCGGACGAAAGUUGGUUAGUAAUCGGCUUUGAAGUGCACCAAUUAUACCGAAAGUCGGCAAUUAAUAUUAUUUUUUGAGUCCCAAGGUGCGAUGAGCCAAUCCCUUCUGGCGCCCGAGGCACUCCGAACUUAUCCAAGGUUGACAGUGAUGCUGUCCAACUGGCCUCAAGUUUGUUAGGGUGUAGCUGACGUCAAAAAGAGACCAGCGAAAAUGCAAAGUUGAUGUUUUUUCACCCACACCUUCACAAUACUAAUGUCUGUGUAUCAGAGACAGCUUGAAAGAGGCCAUUCAUUGUCAUGUCUCCGACCGCCGAUGUUGUUAGGCAACGAGGCGCCUUUGGGCUCACCAUAUCACCAUCCGUCAAGUGUACUUAGUUGCAGCGAUUCGGCCGGGGAAUCGCUUACGUUUCACUUGUUACUGUUUAUGGAAACAAUAUCUCAUCGCAAGCAUCUUUAAGGAUCCCAUUCAGGUAGGAAAAUCCGUUAUUUAUAGCGCAUUAAAGCCACUCAAUUUUCUGCUCUUCUUUGCGCUUAAAGUGCAAACUAUUACAUAGGGCCUACAUUCACAACUGUCACAUAAGUAUCUAGCGUCAAGCGUAGUAUUUGAGUAAUAUAAUAUCGAAAGAUGCCCGGGAUGAAACAUAAUCUGGAGAUUAAAAUUUGUCGCCGUCGCGGAAGCAUAACCUUAUGGCACCAGAUUAAUUGCAAAACUGUAUUUGUCCCUAUCCAGUAAGAAUUUCUAUAUAUUUUAAUGAUAAUUUAAAAGUGACCAUUACAAAAUUAUAAACUUUUGACUUCUCCUAGAAGAACUAAAAAUCUUAGAAAUUCUUACGACUUCCUUACAAAUAACGGAUAUACCCAUAGUUCCUCGCGAGAUUGUACUUCCUGCUGAUUAAUCGAUCCUAGCGGUUCAUUAACUGGUGAGUCAGAUAAGUGGUGAGUCUUAAUUUUUAACAAUAGAAUAUAUCGACUUCACUUCGCUGUUAAGAUGUUUUAUUGAUAAAUUUUUAUACAUAAUUUACC